GAAAUGAAGUGGAAUGCCCUUUUUUGUUCGAUGAAUGGUUAUGAUCGGAAAAUUUCUAAAUUAUUAAACACUUGAUUGUCUGAGUAUGUUGAAAUAACUGAAAGUGAUUAUUAACCUAAGUGUGAGAGAUCGGAAAACAUAAUGAGCAUGAGAUCGAUAGGGAAUCAACGUUAAUCGGGACUUGAUUAAAAAUUGGAAAUUUGGUGAACCCA
rnacentral:misc_RNA from 1 species